GUAACCAUGUGCAUUUAAGUUUGUUACAGGGUACGUUAGGGUAAAGAGUAGAGCAACUGCUUGAUGUCUUUGCAAGCAGGAUGCCUACUUAAUUAUUAUUCCAUCUAUUUUUAAAACCAUCAUUUUCUAAAGUAACACUAUAACUAAAAGUACCUGGAUAUUCUGCUAAAUGUAGUUUAGAUACUCCACCCAAGAAGUGGAGCAGGGACCGUUUCUCAGGGACUUUUCUUCAUUCGACAAUAUUUAUCAAGAAAAUACAGUUCCAU
rnacentral:misc_RNA from 1 species